rnacentral:lncRNA from 13 species
AAACACACUGCACAUGCAGUUCCUCCCAAGCGCUGGCAGGCUGCUGCAUGUACAGAUUGCCAACGUGUAAAACCCCAAGGCAAAGGCCAAGCUGUGCACUUGUCUCCGGUUAUCCACUUGGCCCUCUUCCGACGGAAUUCUUUCUUCUGAGGAUGCAAGAACUGAGGUUGCUGCAGACCCGUACCGAUUCACAACUGCUAACAGAGAAGAGGCCAUGUAAGGACAUAGUGAGAAAGCAGCUGUCUGCAAGCCACAAAGAGAGGCCUCACCAGAAACCAACCCUGCAGGCACCUUGAUCUUGGACUUCCAGCCUCCAGACUAAUGCCGUAUUGUUGGGCCCACUAUGUCCUUAUUUUAUCUGCUGAGGCGACUAUCACAAUGAGUUCAGGGACUACAGCGGUGCUGCCAUUUAUCUUGGGUUGUAGAGUUGGAUCAUCACGGCGAGUCUUUGGAGGCUUGGUAUGAGCAGUUGUAGAAAACUGGGAGAAUCUUUUUUUAAUCUCCUGCAAGUAUGUUAUUCAUAACUUUUUAACUGGUUUUAUUAGUCUUUAAUAUUUCAACAGCAGUUGACAAUCUGAGCAGCUUGUCUCCAUGGGAACAGAUAUUGACUACAUAUAUAUAUGUAUAUACAUAUAUAUAAUACAUGUGUAAGUGUAUCUACAAAUCUCAAAAUUAUAAGUAGAAAAAAUUAUAAUUAAGAGUCAUGGUUAGGGAAUAGGAAUAGAAUCCACUACAUGGAAACCAAACAGGCCUUUAGGUUUGCUUCAAAUAGUGAUUUGAAAUUUCUCCUUUUCAUAAAUAUGUAAGUUAAAUUUUUUAUUAUAAUAUUUUUUCUAAAAGACAUGCUUCAUCCAUCUUUCCUAGGGCUGUUCUCCAAUAUGCCCUGUAGCUGCCCAGCUGAAUUGGCCAUGGUCAUUCUGCUACAUGCAAAGUACUUUAAUUUUUUAAGGGUUUAUUUUUGUUGUUGUUGUGUUACUUUAAUGUAUACUUACUAUUUUUAUUGCUAUUUUACUUUCACAUUUGGAAAAGUAUAACCAAUAAGCUGUGUACCUCUCGCUAGCUUUUUUCAUUAGUAUUAUAACCAUGAGCAAAUAAAACAGAUGUUUUUAUCA